GAUGAACGCUGACAGAAUGCUUAACACAUGCAAGUCUUUGGCGAAUCUGUGCUUGCACAGGCUAGCCAAGGCGGACGGGUGAGUAACGCGUAAAGAACUUGCCCUGCAGACAGGGAUAACAGACGGAAACGACUGAUAACACCUGAUACAGUUGCCGGCACGCAUGUGCCUGGCAAUGAAAAGAGAUGCUGCAGGAGAGCUUUGCGUCCUAUUAGCUUGUUGGUGAGGUGACGGCUCACCAAGGCGAUGAUAGGUAGCCGGCCUGAGAGGGUGAACGGCCACAGGGGGACUGAGAUACGGCCCUUACUCCUACGGGAGGCAGCAGUGGGGAAUAUUGGACGAUGGGGGCAACCCUGAUCCAGCAAUUCUGUGUGCACGAAGAAGGUUUUCGGAUUGUAAAGUGCUUUCAGCAGGGAAGAAGAAAGUGACGGUACCUGCAGAAGAAGCGACGGCUAAAUACGUG
rnacentral:rRNA from 1 species